GAUGAACGCUGGCGGCGUGCUUAACACAUGCAAGUCGAACGGUGACGGCGGAGCUUGCUCUGCUGGAUCAGUGGCGAACGGGCGAGUAACACGUGAGCAAUCUGCCCCUGACUCUGGGAUAAGCGCUGGAAACGGCGUCUAAUACUGGAUACGAGCUGCGAAGGCAUCUUCAGCAGCUGGAACGAACUUCGGUCAGGGAUGGUCUCGCGGCCUAUCAGCUUGUUGGUGAGGUAUCGGCUCACACUGUGGUGGCCGGGUAGCCCACCUGGGAGGGUAGCCGGCCUCACGGCGACUGAGGCAGGGCCCAGACUCCAACGGGGGGCAGUGGUGGGGAAUAUUGCACAAUGAGCGAGAGCCUGAUGCAGCAGCGCCGCGUGUGGGACGACGGCCUUCUGGUUGUAAACCUCGUUUAGCAGAGAAGAAGCGAAAGUGACGGUACCUGCAGAAAAAGCGCCGGCUAACUACGUG
rnacentral:rRNA from 1 species